rnacentral:rRNA from 1 species
AUACGGAGGGUGCGAGCGUUAAUCGGAAUUACUGGGCGUAAAGCGCGCGUAGGCGGCUUUGUAAGUCGGAUGUGAAAGCCCUGGGCUCAACCUGGGAAUUGCACUCGAUACUGCAGAGCUAGAGUAUGGUAGAGGGAAGUGGAAUUUCCGGUGUAGCGGUGAAAUGCGUAGAUAUCGGAAGGAACACCAGUGGCGAAGGCGACUUCCUGGGCCAAUACUGACGCUGAGGUGCGAAAGCGUGGGGAGCAAACAGGAUUAGAAACCCCGGUAGUCC